rnacentral:lncRNA from 1 species
GAUACUAUUAUGAUGCAUUCAUAUGUCCUUAGUUAUUUUUGUCUAAGCUUAAACAAAGUUGUCUUUUUUUUGUUUUCCUGGGAAUAUUUGUUUGUUGUUUUUCGAAAUGCAUCAAGUUUAUCAUAAUUUUUCUAAUUCAUUGAAGUAGGUCUGUGUAGCUUAUCUUAUUCCUAUACUAAUUUUCUGAAGACGUGUUUUUGUUACGUCUUAUUUUAUUUGAUGUUUUAGUUUGAUCACAAUCUUUCAAAAUUGUACUGGCACUAAAGCUUCAGUUUCAAGAACCC